rnacentral:rRNA from 1 species
UACGUAGGGGGGCAAGCGUUGUCCGGAUUCAUUGGGCGUAAAGAGCGUGUAGGCGGCCAGGUAGGUCGGUUGUGAAAACUGGAGGCUCAACCCUUCAGAGGUCGACCGAAACCAUCUGGCUAGAGUCCGGGAGAGGAGAGUGGAAUUCCUGGUGUAGCGGUGAAAUGCGCAGAUAUCUGGAGGAACACCGGUGGCGAAGGCGGCAUCCUGGACCGACACUGACGCUGAGGAGCGAAAGCCAGGGGAGCAAACGGG